GAUGAAGAACGCAGCGAAAUGCGAUAAGUAGUGUGAAUUGCAGAAUUCAGUGAAUCAUCGAAUCUUUGAACGCACAUUGCGCCCUUUGGUCUUCCAUGGGGCAUGCCUGUUCGAGCGUCAUUUCACCACUCAAGCCUGGCUUGGUGUUGGGCGACGUCCUCUUUGGGGACGCGCCUCGAAACGCUCGGCGGCGUGGCACCGGCUUUAAGCGUAGCAGAAUCUUUCGCUUUGGAAGUCGGGGCCCCGUCUGCCGGAAGACCUGCUCGCAAGGUUGACCUCGGAUCAGGCAGGGAUACCCGCUGAACUUAAGCAUAUCAAUAAGCGGAGGA
rnacentral:misc_RNA from 1 species